ACACAUGUGCCUAUUUUUACCACAUUAGCUCGCCUAUAUUUUGAAAGAAUUUUCUUUUUAUUUCUUUCCUUUGCAUAAUCUCAAGUUUUUCUUUCUUUUAUUGUUCCCUUUCUUUUUCUCAUUUAUUUUUCAUCAGUGAUUUGAUCCUAGGCACUCACUUACAAGUCUAUGGCCCAUGAUCACCUUCUUUCAAGAUCCACCCCCAACUUAAG
rnacentral:lncRNA from 1 species